GGUGGAUCCCUGACAUUUGUUCUCUUUAAAACAAGAAUUAAGAUACACGUGUUGGAAGAAUUUACUGAAGUCACCCAAAGUCAAGCUUUGUUGUCCAGAUAUCCAAAAUCUCUGUAUGGUAUUCACUGCUGAGGAUAACCCGAUCUCAGGAAGACUGAAGAUCAUGAAGAGUACUUCAAUGCAUGGAAAAAUAAGAGGACACAUCUACUUUUUUAUCAGCUGAGUAUUAACCUUAUUUUCACAAUUUUAUGAGUUCCUUUUAAUUACUGUGAAUUUAGAUUUGUUCAAGUGAGGUGACUGAGAUUUAAGUUCCUCUGUGUAAC